rnacentral:rRNA from 1 species
AUCGAGCGGUAAGGCCACUUCGGAAGUACACGAGCGGCGGACGGCUGAGUAACGCGUAGGAAUCUACCCCGAACUGAGGGAUAAGCACCAGAAAUGGUGUCUAAUACCGCAUGUGCUCUUUGGAGUAAAGCUUCGGCGGUUUGGGAAGAGCCUGCGUCCGAUUAGCUAGUUGGUAGGGUAAUGGCCUACCAAGGCAAUGAUCGGUAGCCGGCCUGAGAGGGCACACGGCCACACUGGCACUGAAACACGGGCCAGACUCCUACGGGAGGCAGCAGUGGGGAAUCUUGCACAAUGGGGGAAACCCUGAUGCAGCGACGCCGCGUGAGUGAUGAAGCCCUUCGGGGUGUAAAGCUCUUUCGGCAGGAACGAUAAUGACGGUACCUGAAGAAGAAGCUGCGGCUAACUACGUG